GGAGAAAUACCCAAGUGGCUGAAGGGGUCAGUUUCGAAAACUGAUAGGAGGCGCAAGUCUCGCGAGGGUUCAAAUCCCUCUUUCUCCGCCA
rnacentral:tRNA from 1 species